AGAGGUAUUGGUAGGCUACAUUGAUCAGCGUAGUGCCACCGCAAUAACCACGCUGCCUAUCGUUUAUUUAACAAGUUAUCAGCGGCUUUGCAUUCAAUUGCAAUGGACCUGAAUCUGAGCGGUGUUGUUAAGAGAUGAGGUCGUCUUUUAUGUAGUUUUAACUUGACUUCUUGUUAUCCGUCAGUUGAGGGAAUUGAAUGGGAAGAUUGAGAAACACAAUGCAAAACAGCCCAAAUGGAUACAAGACGAAGAGAUAUCUAAGGAGACAGCGAAGAUGGACGUAUUCCAAACCAGCCACUGUCUAGUUAGUGAUCUGUCUUAUGCGGAAAAUAUCGAGACAAAAUUAAUUUUACGGAAUUGCUGCAAAGUGGUCCGGUGGCGCAGCCGUCUCAUAUCAUAGGCACCCCGAGUGUGUGGCACGCCGAGUCACUACGCUCGAAGAAGAAUUUGCGGUGACAAGCAGUUUUAUGUGCCCGUGAGAAAAUUAGUCACUUGAAAUUACGUGAAUGAUGGUCAACGACUUUAACUUUUCUGUCCACUAUUUCAUAAUAUCGGAAAGGUUGCAUUAUUUUGGAAUUGAAGGAAUGUUUCUCAUGGAUUGUACCUGUUUUGUAUCUUACUUUGAAAUCAAGCCCAGAAAAUAACGAUAGGGAAUUGCCAAUGGACUAUUUUUUUGUCUUUCAACACUGCUGCAUUGGAUCAGAAUGUAUUUGUCAUUGUAGCCUAGACUACAGCUGCUGAAGACCGUGCGCUCCGUCUGGUAUUUUUGACUUUUCUCAACGAUGCAGCUCCUCCGACUAGCGUGGGCUUUAGCAGGAGCGACAGUCUGCUGUUUUGUUAUCUUCCUCAUUCACUCACACGUUCUAAAAGAAGGUCAGUUGGCAGCAGGUACGUGCGAAAUUGUCAAUCUGGACCGGGACAUCAGUCAGCCGAGGCGAACCAUAGCUCGACAGACGGCAAGGUGUGCCUGCAAGAAGGGCCAGAUUGCGGGCACCACGAGAGCCAGACCGGCUUGUGUAGAAGCUAGCAUUGUGAGAAGCCAGCAGUGGUGUGAUAUGAUGCCUUGCUUGGAAGAUGAAGGCUGUGACCUCCUAGUCAACCAAUCAGGCUGGACCUGCACACAGCCGGGGGGCCGGGUGAAAACCACUACGGCCCUAUGACGACACACAUACAAAGACAGAAGGCAAUGCCAGCCAGACAGCAAAAGUCAACCAGUUUUCAAGGACAGACAGGAGAGAAACAUCAAACUGCAGAUCCUGGCAGGCUAGCGCGACAGCAAGGUCUCCUGACGAUGGCAGGGACAGACUCUACGGAAAGAGAGAGAGGAUUUUGUGAGCUGCUUCCCAUAGUCUAUCGUCACCGCCUGUGUGGAGCGUACGUUGUCUUAUCAUCAGCUGUCCGUCCAUUGUUCUGUUCAGCGAGUGAAGCCACGCUGCGAAACGUUACCAAAGGCCUAGGACUCCUAAUACGGGAGCUGGAGCUAACAUGGAACAUAUGGACUGCGAUGCUGUAGUAUUCCUUGGGAGACAGAACUUCUUUUUCAAUUGAGUUUGGAUAACUCUGAAGUGGGUCAUCGUGAACUACUGGAUCCGACCCAGCAUAGACUUUGGAGACACAGGAUGAGAUUCUCUUUUGAAGUUUACGCUUGGCAACUCCUAGUGUUUUCACAGACCAAAGAAAUAGAUGGCCAACAGCACCAUGUUUUGGAGGACACAGUAUGCUGUAAGGGGUUUAGAAACUUCAAGUUGAUGAAACAUGCAAUCCCAUAUUCCCACUCACACUAUGAUGACUGUAUCCCACAAAUGUACACAUGUUGAAGAAAGGGACUUGUAGCCCACAGUAAUUGUAUACAAAUUAUUUACAAAUACUGGACAGCAAAAGAAAUUCAAAGGACAUGGUGUAAUUCGUCAAUUACAUUUUGUGUGGACUACUGAACUGUACUUGUGUACUCACUGCUCUAUUUUGGACCCACAUUAAAUCAGAUUUACAUUUUCAAUUGCUAUAUUUGGACGAUUUGCAGUCAGCAUGGCUGGUUAUAGUAAAACAAGCAAUCCAUUUCUCACCAGGAAAGAGGAAAAGAAGAGGAAAUCCGUCAUAUGUUUGGGGGAAAGAAACAUUACAUGUAUUUUCAAAAGCCUAAAGUUAUAUAUUUAACAGUUUUAUAUGUUGUAUCUUUGUAGAAAACCUUAUUUAACACAUUGCCAAUCAUAAACUGUGGAUACACAAUGAGCUAUGUCCUUUAAGCUAUUGGUCUGUCUUGUUCAUUUGAACAAAGUCAAGUGGCUCCUUUUCAAGCUGUUGAAUUAUUUUUUCAUCAUAAAAAGUCAAUUAUUUAACAUGAAAUGAAUAGGAAAGUACAUAAUUAAAGCAACCAGACAAUAGUACAGAGCCUGUUUCUGAAGAAAGGUCAUAUUUUCUAUGUUUUCUACUUUUCUAGUCCCCAGUAACCUUUGUGAAAAUGUUGCACAAGUUGGGGUUUUACUUUUGAAACCACAUUCACUACAUUAAAUAGAGGGGGGAGACACAAGGAGACAUUGAUUUAACCACUGGUGACUACAGAGUUUGCAACCAAAGCUCAAAAGGUUACAACUUUCUCACAUCUAUGCACAUUUUAGCAAGGGGGACCUUUUCUCACUCAAGCAAGCAAAGCUUAGAAAGAAACACCACUGAGGGUAGUGAGCAGUGCCUAGCGGCAAGAUUCUACCACAACAGCUCAAUUUAAACUUCCUUGUUCAAAAUUGUUUCAGUAUGAGCAGCACAUACAUACUGUGGAAGUUUUGUUUGUUUUAACAGACUUCAUAGAAAAACAUUGAUUUACAUCAUUCAGGAAAAAAUUCAUUGAAUUAAGUGUUAACUUCUUCAUGGGCAAAUUGUAAGUCGUAAACAAUUGUCAGACGUCUUGGCUCAUUAAGUGUGACAAGGUCGAGGUCUGCCAAUUAAAGGUCUAUUCCGGGAUAUUAAGCACACCAAAUUCAAAUGUAAUGAUUUGGAUUUAUAACAUAGAGUAUCAUACAAAUUAAAUAGAAAGGUAAUCUGGAUGAUGUAGUACACAAAUGGAUGAUGUAUUACACAUUAUUUUUUUUUUUGAACAAAUCUUAGCUCAUGAGCACCACUCUUACAACUACUGGCUGAAGUUAUACAAAAACUCUGGAGUUCCUCUUUAAACACGACCAUGUGUGGGUCACAGGCCGUGCUAUAAAGUUAUUUUUAUUAUUUACUUUUUGAGCCUUUAACAUGUAGAGGGACAACUGUUAAGAGAGGGUCCUACUCUUAAUAACUGACCAAUAAGAACACAUCAAUGAUAUAGAAGGCAAAGAGAAAGUGUACACUGGCCACGCAGAAUAUCCAGUGGGUACAGGAUGGAGGCUUGUGGAUGGCAUGGCACAAAUGUCUUUUUAAUCUUCCAACCUUCCUGUCACAAAAGGGUAGGAAUGGUAUGAAUGGGGGCACUUUGACUAUCAGGUUAGUAGCUUUGGCAUCACACUUACUAUGCUAGCUUAUUGGGUGUGACAAUUACAAAUUCUACAAUGACACUGGUUAGCUACAUUGUUUAGUUGUUGGUCGGUCAUGGUAGUUGGUCAGCUCAUGGCAUUGUUGUACGUUGCCUGAUACAGACUUGCAAGCCAUUCGUAGAAAGUGACGACAGAACCUGAGCAAAUUUGGCCAGUUAACGUCUGUAACUUCACUAUAGCAAGUAUUGUAGUUAAAACGCACAGUUACCCUGUAAUAAAAACAUGUAACUUGUGGAAAUUACAUAGAAGUAAAUGGAAGUAUAACUUUGAAUGCUUACCAAUGUGCAAUUUUCCACUACAUUCAACAAGGUUUAAAGUUCUGUGUUUUCUCAGCUGUAUCGUAUUCAGUAAAAACAGUCUGGAUGUUCUGACUCCCUAAGAAAUUCAAAGCUUAGAGGCUCAAUACGCUCCCUUCAAAAUGUUCACAAAAUGUUGUUGCGAAACAUAUAAUAAACUUCUGCCAUCAAAAAGUAUAAUCUGGGUUAACUUGGUUUACAGACUGAGAUCACAUAUGUCAGCUGUCAUUCCAGAUGAUUGCAUAUUAGAAUCAUUUUAAAGUGAAUCAUUUGUGUGCAUAAGCCAUUAUGAUAACAUAAACCUCCUUCCAUCCAGUUGAGACAAAGAAAACUGUUAGGUACACAAUGGUGCAUGCAAUAUCUACCUGAGUACUAUAACAUUUCUACGGUUACACGGGACAUGUGUAUUGAAGGUUACUUCAGCGGUACUUAAAAAAUAAAUUUCCUGUCUUGACAAAUGGCCCCUUUUUGAAGGUUUACAGAUGUCCUAUCCAAGUGGGAGAAUAAACACAUUUGUACAAUAAAGAGUACAUUAAAUGUAUGUCUAAGUACAAGACAAUUACACCAUCUUACAAAGGCUUUAUCUAAUUACAAUGAUGUCCAUCUUGAAGUUGUACCUACUCAUAAUUCACUUACAGUAUAUAGUAUCACCCAACAAUCUGGUCUUUAUUUAAAGUGCACUUGAAAUGCAUCCAAAUUAGAGGAUACUGUACAAGCCAUUACUGCACAGAGUAUGUAAACCCCACAUUUGUUGCCAUAGUGCUCAUAAGCUUCCAUGUAUUCCAAAUUAAACCUUGACCUGGGGCAGCAUCAACACCAGAGUACUAAACACAGCAGUGUCAAUGAGGGGGCUGGUUUUCAGUUUGUUAUAACUGUUCCGGUUUAUGCAGGCUACUGUAGGUUUGGAUACAAAUUGGAAACAUGGACAUUUCUAUCAAGCACUGCAGCAACUCUGCUUACAAAUUACAAUUUCCACCAGUUACAUGUUGUUAAUAUGGUGUUAAUUUCUGUUAUUAUUAUUCAUUACUGUGCUUGUUACAGUGUAAUAACACUAAAAGGAACCCCUUCAAAAUGUCACCCAUUUACCAACUUUUCUAACGUUCUGCAAUGUAUCUUACUUCUUAAACAGCAUAUAUUUUAAUAAAAGGCAUUGGGUAUGACUAAAUCAAUGCACACAUAUGAACAUCCUGUAUCUGCAGUCAGGUUCAAAACUAUUGAUGUUCUUGAAUUUAUGGAGAACGUAAAAACAUUUACCAAGAUCAUGUGAAAGGGUAGUAUGCUGUUUUCUGGGUACUCAAUCUUACUUGGAAUUUGAUCAAACAACCUCUGGAUUGCAAGCUACUUGAAGUACCUGGUGCUCCACCAAGCCUGUGAACCCAGUGGUAAUCAGCGUAUACACAUUUCCACUUUGCCUAAACAAGUAUAUAUACAAACUUUAUGUGCCUUUAGAAAGUAUUCAGAUCCCUUCACUUUCUCCAUGUUUUGCUGUGUUAUAGACUUAAUUUCUCAUUGGUUAUUUUUAUUAUUUUUUUUGCAAUGCACACAUUACUCUAUAAUGAUAAAGCAAAAAUAUGUUUUUAGAAAUUGGUGCCAAAAUAUUGGGAACCCCCCAAUAUCUCAUGUAUUUAAGUAUUCAGAUCCCUUAUUCAUUACUUUCUUGAAGGGCCUUCAACAGCAAUCACAGCAUUGAGGCUUCUUGUGUAUUCCUGUACUAGAUUUACCAUCUGGUUUUGGGCAGUUACUGUAGUUUGUACUUUUAGACCUUCUGAAAUGUCCCUCUAUUAGACCCACCAUGUUAAAUUGAAUGGGAAGUGUCAGUGAACUGCAAUCUUAGUGUCUCCUCACAGAUGUACAAUGGGGUUGAUGUCCAAGCUUUGACUGGACCAAUCAGCUAUAUUGACAGACUUGUCCCAAAGCGACUCCAGGGUUGUCUUGACUGUGUGAGUCUGGUCAUUUUCAUGCUGAAUGAUGGAUGAUGCAUUUGAGUGUCAAGGCAAAUAUUCUGAAUACUAAUGCACAGGAGAUAUUAUCUUUUUUUUUUUCAAUAAAUUGGCAAACAUUUCUAAAUGCAUGUUUUU